CAGAACUGGAGGGGAAGGUCGGGGCUGUUGGUGUUCGAGGAGAAGCUUGCUGCGGACGGUUUUCCUGAUGUGAACUCGGCUGUCCUCACUGGAGAAGGGGCUCGGGGCCUCGCUGUCAUUGGGAACGGCUGCUGUUCUCAUUAGGGGGCUCUGGUCUUCAGCAUGAGCAUCACUUCCUGGCUCCAAUGUGGACCCCUCACCUGGUGGCACAAAUCCUUCACCUCACAGGCACAGGUUUUCUGGCUUCCACCCCUGGCCUUUGGGCCUUCUGGGUGCAGAUCCUCAAUGUGGACAAGCAUGGGACCCUGCCGUGAGCCCUAGGCCUCUGGCUGGACUUGUGGAGGACACUGCUGUGGGAUCCAGGCCCUUGGCUGGAUUCUUUGGGUCUCUAGUGUGUGGCUGUUCUCUUGCUCUCCUCCAUAUUUGACUUUUUGGACAGGAGACAACGCCGAGCAAGCAGGAAGCGCCUCUCGUCAGUGCAUCAGGACGCCUCUGCUGGCAAAGUUCUGAAACACAUAAAAGGACAAUAAAACCGAGCAACUGCAUUGCUGUACCUAAUAACAUAGAGGCAACCUAGCUUAUUUUGCAAAAAACCCCAAUGCUUCUGGUUGUGGUCUUUCCCGGAAAGAAACUGCAGUAUUAUAAGACAGAUUUUUUUCCUUUGUCUCCUGUUUUUAGAUGCAACAGCAAUUCACUGAAGUCUAUCAGUAAAUGGGGCAGAGCUUCGAUCUCAGAAACAAAAGGGAAAGCAGAUUAAUGUUUUAUAUAAAAAGGAAAUAAAGUAUGGGAAGCAAUACCAGAAUGAAAUUUUUUUCCCUGUAAAACCAAACCAGUUAUGUGCUUUGCCCAUUGAUGGUUGCACAGAACCCUCUAACACUCAGUGCCAUAGAGUAACUGCUGUGUUUUAUGCCCACUGUUGUGGGCCAGGAAUCUGGGGACAUGUGAGUGGCCUAGUGGCCUCUGACCCCCUGUGCCAGCCGGGGACCAGGCCAGGACCCCCUGUCUCUGAGGCACUUCCAGGAGAUUCGAGGUCCUUCCUCUGGAGCAGAGCCUUGAGGCAGCUCAGGGCCGGCUGCACCUGCACAGCAUCACAGCCACCGAUUCCAAGCUGGGAAACAGGUUCCAGGCCAGAAGGGGCACA
ensembl:lncRNA